GCUGCAGAUAAGCGACAUGCCGAAGAAGAAGAAAAGAAAAAUCGAACACGCGAAGCAGAGCGCCGCUACCGUGAAGAGAAAGAGGGCGUCUCUUCUUCUUCUUCUUCUUCCUCUCUCAUUUUCUUCUCUUUUUUCUUUUCCUUUUUC
rnacentral:ribozyme from 13 species